rnacentral:rRNA from 1 species
UACGUAGGGCGCAAGCGUUGUCCGGAAUUAUUGGGCGUAAAGAGCUCGUAGGCGGCUUGUCACGUCGAUUGUGAAAGCCCGAGGCUUAACCUCGGGUCUGCAGUCGAUACAGGCUAGCUAGAGUGUGGUAGGGGAGAUCGGAAUUCCUGGUGUAGCGGUGAAAUGCGCAGAUAUCAGGAGGAACACCGAUGGCGAAGGCAGGUCUCUGGGCAUUAACUGACGCUGAGGAGCGAAAGCAUGGGGAGCGAACAGG